AUAUUGUGUGAAAAUGAAAUUUGCAUAAACGAAAACAACAAAUAUUCGUACGGUACAACUUCAGCACUAAUUGCAAUUUUGAAAAUGCUAGAGGUAGAUCCAAGCAAGCAUCCAUCUUUCUCCAAGCAUUUGCUUGAACGAGGCUUUAAUGAUAAAAUACGAAUGCCGGGUGCUUUUGUUAAAGAAAACAAGAAGAUGUUGGCGAAGACGGCCUUACUGAAAACGAAUGAAGGGAUGUUAUGGGAAGUCAAGAUAGCGAGGGAGACGUCUGAUUACUUCAUAUGUAAAGGAGACUGGCCACGGUUUGUGGUGCAUCAUAUGUUGGAGCUAGGGGACAUGUUGAUAUUCUACCUCGUCGACAAGUCCACCUUCCAUGUCGUGCCCUACUCCAAAAAACCUUGUACCAACAUUAGACAUUUGGAGGAUCUCAGCAGUUCCGAAGAAGAGGAAAAGAACACUGAAUUUGGAACUUCAAGAGGAUGUAAGAAAGUUAAAACUUAGCCAAAAGCAUUGUCAGACACAAAUUUUUCAAAGGAACUCCACCAAUCAAGAAUUGAUAGGAUGUCAAAGGCAAUAAAAGAAAUAGCAUUCAAGAAACAACAGAUUCAAAAACCAUUCGAAAAAGGUGAUGAAGUUGAAGUGGCAAGCCAAGAAGAUGGACUCAUAGGUUCUUACUACACAGCAACUAUUAUUUCUCCCAUUGGCUCUUAUCUUUACAGAGUCAAGUACAAGACAUUGUUUUCUGAUGAUGAGUCUGUGCCCCACUAGAGGAUGUUGUCACUGCAUCCAAGGUCCGCCCUGUGCCACCUGAUCAACAUAAAAUAUUGUCAGAAAACAACUUCCGUCUCUACGAUGUGGUUGAUGUAUUUGCCAAUGAUGGAUGGUGGUUUGGAUUCAUCAGUGGAAUAGUUGGAGAAGAGUUGUAUGUCUACUUCCCUACUACUGCAGAUAACAUUGCAUAUCCUCCUGAUGUCUUGAGACUUCAUCAAGAAUGGUCUAAUGGCAAGUGGAUAUUUCCUCCAGAACAAGGAAUUUUCAACUGGGAUGUAGCUAAAUGGGAGGAAAAAUGUGUGCGAGGAAGAUGUGAAAUCGGAAGGAAAUAGCAUAUGAUCAAGUGCCCAUUGAAGAACAUGCAAGUCAGUAUUUCCAACAAUUACAUAAACAUCAUUAAUUUCUGCAUCUUCGCUUGUUAAUGUACUACUCUUGCUAUCUUGAUCUCCGAUCUCUUCUAUUUCCCCAGACAUCUCUUUCUAUAAAUCUUGAAUGUAGCCGGUAAUAAUGACGCUACUUGUUCUAAGUUCUGGUCCCUCUUCUCAGUUUUCAUUUUUUUGUUGGUUGAAAUAAAAAUUUUAUAUCAACCAAGUGUAAUAUUUACAAAGCACUAGUUCCAUUUGGACUCUAGAAACUAGAUCUCAACAUUUAUCUACUUCAC